UACGGAGGGGGCCAGCGUUCCCCGGAAUCACUGGGUUUAAAGGGCGCGCAGGCGGCUAAACAAGUCAGAGGUGAAAGCUUGCAGCUUAACUGCGAAAUUGCCUUUGAGACUGUAUAGCUUGAAAGGAGCUGAGGUCAGCAGAAUGUGGCAUGUAGCGGUGAAAUGCAUAGAUAUGCCAUAGAAUACCAAUUGCGAAGGCAGCUGGCUGGGCUUACUUUGACGCUGAGGCACGAAAGCGUGGGGAUCGAACAGG
rnacentral:rRNA from 1 species